UCUGAAACCAUGGUUACUUGUUGCUUUACUUCAGGCCCCACAUUUGUGGGGUCUUCUUGUUUAAUUUCAGGGUUUGUACACAUGAGAGCUUCUAGCUUAAAUUCAAAAUCUGUUGCUACAGGUAAUUUUUGAUUGAUUUCAGGGUGUGUACACAUGGAGUCUUCUUGCUUGGAUAUAGGAUCUGUACAUAUGGGAACUUCCUGUUUGGAUUCAUGGCCUGUACACAUAAUUUCUUGCCUAGAUUCAGGGUCUGUCCAUAUUAAAACUUCUUGCCUGGAUUCAGGGCCUGUAUACAUGGGAACUUCUUGCCUGGGUUCAGAGUCUGUAUACAUGGGAACUUCUUGCCUGGCUUCAGGGCCUGUACACAUGGGAACUUCUUGCCUGGGUUCAGGGUCUGAACACAUGGGAACUUCUUGCCUGGAUUCAGGGCCUGUACACAUGGGAACUUCUUGCCUGGAUUCAGGGCCUGUACACAUGGGAACUUCUUGCCUGGAUUCAGCAUCUGAACACAUGGGAACUUCUUCCCUGGAUUCAGCGUCUGAACUCAUGGAUAUUACUUGCUUGUCCAAAGUUAUUACGCCUUUGGGUUUUUGGAAAAACCAUGGAGAUUUUUGUCCUGGUAAAAGAUAUGAUGCCAUUCCUUUAUAAAAAAGAGCUUUGUUUGGUCCCAGAGGUAAUAUCUCUUCUAAUUUUUUCUCACCUUGAUACAAGUGAAGAACUUUCGAUAUGUGGUCUGACACAGCUAAUAUGGUGUUACCUUUUUUGUCAAAGUUCUCUUUUACAGAGGUGUAGGAUGAUAAGCAUUUGUACCUAAAGCUUUCAAACAUGCCCUCUGGGAUUAUGUCGUUGCCAAGGAGGCAGGCCAGAAGAGGAAGGUCGGCCACACAGAGGCCCAGACUCUCACAGAGCUUCUCUCUGCAGAGCAUGACGGUGUCCAGGCUCUCUAGGCAGAGCUCGCUAAUUGAAAAGUAGGGACAAGUGUCAUAGAUUAGGUAAUCAGUGUCUUCCCCCAGAAUCCCAAGACAGUUAUGCUGGAGGCCAUAGGAAGCUACCUCAUAAUCUGCUUCCUGCAAGGAACACAAAGUUUCCUGGCCCAGUGUCUUUAGAGCAAAUCGUGUAAACACAGCUAGCCCUGAGGGGAUGAAGAACAUAUUUCUGCCUGGCUGCUCCUUGUGUGACUUGAUGUAAUGAAAAAUCCUGGAUAUCUCCCUGUUGUUCUUGAGCCUUCGUUUCACCCAUUCAUCUCUCUUAUCCUGCUCCACCAUGCCAUCAAAGAAGAAUAUCAACUUGAUUCCAGCUGCUGUAAAAGUUUUAACAAAAUCUCGCAAAGCAGAAAAGUAUUCUCGCCACUGGCCACCGCAGAUCCAAGAUUCUGGAGUAUACCAAUAUCUGAGACAACACAUGGCAUCAACCACAAUGGUAGGGGUACAUCCAGGAUACUUGCUUCGGUGGUGCUCUGCCAGUUCUUUGAAAUUUACUACUGUACAUAUAUGUGGGCAGGUACUUCCCACAAAUCCUUGCAAACCUCUCACACCCAUAACUGAACUC
rnacentral:lncRNA from 1 species